AUAACAAAUAAUUCAUGUUAAUUAUUAAUAAUUAAUAUUUUCUUUCAUGGUUUUGCAGAUUAUGAGCAGUGGAGCUAAUCACGACAUGGAGCAUGGUGCUCUCAGCCUCAUCACUUCAGAGACUCCACAACUGUUCAGAAGAGCCGCUGUUUCAGAUCUCCAUAUAUGUUGGGUGUUAAUCAACGGAAAUUUAGAAAAUUCUGGAAUUCGAUUUGAAUAUAUUACUUAAAUUUCAAUUGUUGGAUGAUGGGAUUUGAGUGUUGGAAUAAGGUGAAUUUGGGUAAUAAAAGGUUGAGAAUUUAUUUCCUAAUUAAUUGAUUUAAUCUGGUUGGAUAUGAAGAUUUAAUUAUUGUAUGGUUUGUAAAGGUUUAUUAAUUAAUUAAUUUUGUGGGUGGAUCCAUUUGGGUUGCCUAAGUUGGAAAUUAAUUGUGGAAUUAUUGAAGAUAUAUUUAGAUCAUGUUUGGUUCCUCGAAAAUACUUGGAAAAGACAAAAAGUGUUUAGGAAAAUGGUUUUUUUAUAUUUGAUUUUAUUAUAAAAAAUAUAAAAGAAAAUCAAAUAUAAUUAAAAUUAAUUUGAAAUUUAUAUAUUUUUAAAUUAUUUAAUCUUACUAUAAUAAAGAGAAAUAAGAAAAAUAAGUUUGAAAAAAAUAUAUAAAAAUAAUUUAUUAAAUUUAAACCAAUUUUUAUUUUUCUUCACUUUUUAUUUCCUUCUAUUUUUCCUCUUUUAUUUUUUUUUUCCUUUGUAUUUUUCCUCAAUUUUUUUGGAAACCAAACAUAGCUUUAAGAUUAGUAUGAGAUGGGUUGAAUUAAAUUGGGAGUAUAAGGUAUGAUUUUGGAUUGAUUAUAUGGGGUGGAAAUUAAUUAAAUAGAUAGGAAUGGUCUUGAUUUAAUUGAAUGAUAAGGGAUCAAACAUUGACUUUACAUAAGACUCUAGGAAUUACUCCCAAAAUCCCAUAAACCUUGGGCUUUUAAAAGAUGGAACUAAUCACUGAAAUAAUGAAGUUGGGAAAUUGAAAACUUAUACUAAUAAACAAAAAUUAAAAUACUUUGGAAAAUGUAAAACAUAAAUGACUUUGAAACUAAGAACAUUUAUGUUGAUUUUGACUUAGACUUAGAAAAAAAAAACAAUAAAUAAAUGACUUUGAAACUAAGAACAUUUAGGUUGAUUUUGGUUAGAAUUAGAAAAAAAUAAAAUAAAUAAAUGACUUUGAAACUAAGAGCAUUUAUGUUGACUUUGACUAGACUAAAAUAAUAAUAAUAAUAAUAAUAAUAAUAAUAAUAAUAAUAAAAUAUACAAUAAAACUUAGGUUGAAAUCCACAUUUAAUUGAAUCAAAUACCAACUAGGCAUAUGUGGAUACCGUACUUCGCUCGAUGCGUUCCCAUUCGAUGGUGAAACUCGCUUUUUAUUUGAAAAUGAUUUAUUUUUGAGAAAAUGACUUAGUGACUACUUAUUUUUGUUUUAUUUUUGAAGGGAAAAACAAAAUAAGAUAGAAAAACUUCAAGUGUGGUUCUUGAAGGAAAAAUAGGUCUGUGAAAAACCAAGUUUGGGUCUGAGGGUUAGGUUAUCUAUUGAGAAGGUAUGGUGAUGAGCCGUAAUACCCCUCUAAACCCCUAAAAAUGGGUUUCUACUAAAUAAGGUGAAACAAACAUGACAAUUAACUAGAAAAUCAAUGGAUACUAAUGAAAUGAUCAAAUAAUAAAAUGAAUCACGCAUAAAAGUAAGCGAAGUGGGAGUGUAACUUGGUAGCAAGUAAUAGUGCGCUAUCAUGGAAACAUGAUUAGCUCAAGCAUAAAAUCAUCACAUGCAUAUCAAAGAGUAAGACAAAGAUCGAGCAAUAUUUAUUAAACUUAACAAUUAAUAAUCAGAAGAGAAUGCUUUUAUGUAGGGUCCCCACCAAAACCCAAUUGAUCUUGCGUGAAUUAAACUUACAAAAUCUAUUAUUUUAGAAUUAUGAAAAUUGCUUUCACGCUUAUUAAAAACAGUGAAAAAUGAGGAAAAUUAUUAAACCAAAGAAAAUUGCAAGAUGUAUGCCUGAAUAAAAAAUGAUAGCAAAUUUAUUAAAAAUUAGGUUUUGUUGAAUCAGGAUUUGAAUGAAGAAAAAAAAAAAAGAAAGAGAAAAUAAAAUAUCGAUAAUAAUAGUAAUAAUGAUAAAUAAAUAAAUGAAUAAAAUAAAGUAAAAUAAUAAUAUAGAUAAAUAAAUGGUUAGAUGAGAUAUGAAUAUGUAAAAUAAUUUAAUUAGGUGAAUAAACAAAUUAAAUAAAUAAAUUUAAAAGAUUUAAAACCAUUUGAUUUUUUUUUUUUUUCAAAAAUCAAGUUUUGAAGCUUAUUUGAAAGUUGAGGUUUUAAGAACUAAAUUUGAAAAUGGGAAUUUUAGAAAAAAUAAUUUAAAACUGGAAGUCAUGAAAGUUGGAACUUGGAAAAUUUAUUUAGGAAUGAGAUUUCUAAAAAAUUAAAUAUGAAAAUUGGGAUUUUGGAAAGUUAUUUGGAAAUUAAAGUUUGGAAAAUUAAAUUUGAAAAUUGGAUUUUUGAAAAUUAUUUGGAAGGAAUUGGAGUUUUGAAAAUUGAAUUUAAGAAUUGGAAUUUUAGAAAUUAAAUUUGAAAACUAAAGUUCGAAGAACUAAAGUUUCGAAAGUUAAACUUAAGAAUAAGAGUUUUGAAAAUUAAAUUGAAAAUUAAUUCUGGAAGUUGAACUUCAAAAGAUUAUUUGAAAACUGAAAUUUUGGGAGAAUUAUUUAAGAAUAGAAUUUCUUUUUUUAACUAAAAUAAACCCUUAACAUCAAGAGGUAAAGGAAACAAAGAAUGGCAGGUGGCUACUUAGUUUGCGUGCCAAAGGUGGCCAUGCACAGGUACAGAAAUGGGUCCAGGGUCAUUGAGACUACUCUAUAAGGAUGGGCCCAAGGUGGAAAGAAGCCCUUAAGUGAUGUUCACGGGCCUUGAGCAUCUUGGCAGCCCAAAAAAAAUAACAUUGCAACGCGUGCGUCAUGCUUGCAAGCGCGUACUUUCCCGACAACUUUGUUCUUGGUGCUCCCAUUCCACGACCCCCUGAACUGGAAGCGCAUCCCUAUCGACCCUGACGGCAACAAACGGCGAACCGCCGGUGCCCACGGUGGCUCGAAUCUCGAUCUUCACCUUUAGAAGACAAUAGUUGAUGUCCACCUGAGUCGAUUCACGGCGAAUCAAUCAGCUGGUAGUGAAUUCCUCGAAGAACAAGCUCCGGAUUCUUGUGGAUCCUCCUCUUCAUGCCUUCCAACCCCUCCGCUAUCUUUGGAUCCAACAUACGGAAAGGCUUCCCCGCUCCAAGCACCGUCAACCUCCGAAGACUCGACAUAGUCCUCUAUUUCCGGCAUAGAAAAGUAGAGCGGUGACGGGAUCGAUGCUAACGCGUACCGGGUGCUCAUGUGGAGUGGAUCUCUUGCACAAAGCUUUAAUGCAAUACACAUCUACUCGUUCCAGUUAAUAAUUUACCCAUUGUCCCUAUAGGUUUCCUAGCCCUUAGGUUUUCAUGCUUCAAGCCCCAAGUUGGCUAUUAGCCUUUCAUGGAGGUGAUGUCACAUUCACAAUCCAUAAUAGGGUAAAAAUCCAUAAUUUGAAUCAAAAGAAACUAAAAACAAUAUAUUUAAUAAAGAAGAAAAAGAAAAUAAACCAAAGUUCUCGUCUUCUUCCACCUUCAAUGUCAAACUCUCCGGAAAAAGAUCCAAGAUCCCUAAAACCUAGAAUUGAGAGAGUUUAUAUAAUACCAUCAAUUACCUAACAUGUGGCACACUCUCAUUGGCCACUUAUUACAAAAUAAUUUCCUAAAAAUAAUUAAAAAUAAUAAUAAAAUGGUGAUUUCUAGUCGUGUGGGGUCCACUUAGGGUGGAUGAAGUGCUCUAGAUACAAUUCUCGAGGUAGAGGAGGCGGAACAUCAAAGUGGCAGUGGGUGAAUUCGAAAUUGGUGUCAUUUUGAAGUGGAUUUCGAAUUCAUAAGUUGAAUUUCAAAAUCAUAAGUUGAAUUUCGAAAUCAUUUCGAAAUGACUCUCCAGCUUGGUGCAGUUGUCUUCAAAUGGCCACAACUUCUUUAUUUCAGCUUCUAUUUGCACACUGUUUGAAGCGUUGGACUCUUGACUUCCUGAUCUUCGAAAUGAUAUAUAGUAUGUGUAUAAUGGACUCCAUAAAGUGCACUAAAUUUGUCUUCAAAGUCAAAGUAUAUAAUGCCAUCAAAAUUUUGAGUUCUAAAUUUCCAUGCAGCUGAAUCUUGCUUCAUGCCUCAUUUCGCAUGAUUUCUUGCCUUCUUUCUUACUCCAUAAUGGUCAUUUCUCAUAUUUCAAACUCAUGAUAUCCUCGUCUUGCCUUUUCUUAUGGUCCAUGAGUCUUGACUCACUUAUUUCCUCAUUUAGCCGUUUCUUGAUCUUUCAAAAUCUAAAGUGAUUCAAUUUGCACCAUUUUCUUCCCUUGAACCUAAGAUAAGUCUCCAAAGUACAAAUUAAACUCAUGGCUAAGGCCUUAGCAUUGAUUUAGGUCAAGUUGGGUGAUUUGAAUGCCCUUUGGUGCACAAAUCAUAUUGAAUAUAUGCCAUUAUAGUAUAUAUUUUGGCUCAAAUCACCUAUUCUUAACCUCUAGCUCGAUCAGAGAAACAAACACACAGAAGGCCUCAUACUUGCAAAAGUAAGAGCCAGAAUGAAAGAAAUGACCAAAACUAGAGGGUUGGAGGUAAGAGGAUAGAUGUGUAACCCACACGCACAAGCGACAUGCAAUCACACAGAGGAGAGCGGUCAUGCAACAUACAGUCAAGCAGAGUACAUAUAAGCUAUGACAAUCAUGAUGAACGGUGACAAAGACAGCAUGCUCAAAGAUGAUCAAGAUAAUAUGCAAGCCAGAGAAUCAAACCAUCAAGUCAAAUGAUAUACAACAUACAUGUGAGGUGAGCAGAACAAACAUGGCAAAAUCAGAGUCACUAUGCUAAGACAAGCAAGACAAUCAAUCAAGUGAAUCAACACAAUCAACAUAUCAAUGCUCCAAGUGGAUACAACAAUGAAGCACAGAAAAAUCGAUACAUCAGAAUCCUCAAUCAAGAUAAUCAAUCAUCAUAAUCAAGCAUGUCAAUGUCCCAAAUGAAUAUAAUAACCAGACAUGCAUCCAAUGAUAUCAAGAGCUCUUAAUGUGCAAUCAAGAGUCAAGUAAACCGAAGCUCAAAGAGAGGUGGGUAUCCACUGAUCGGCUAAUCAAACACCACGUUUGAUUCAUCUUAAGUUCAAGCUUGACUCUUUAGUAUUCCCUAGUGGAGUCGCCAUUUUGUGGACCCCGUAUUUUGAUCGAUGCGUUCUUACUCGAUGGCGAAACUCAUUUUUUAUUUGAAAAUGAUUUAUUUGUUAGAAAAUGACUUGGAGUCGUCACUUAUUUUUGUUUUAUUUUUGAAGGGAAAAACAAAAUAAGAAAGAAAAACCCCAAGUAUGACUCUUAAAGGAAAAACAGUCUGUGAAAAACCAAGUCUAGAUCUGAGGGUCAAGUUACUUAUUAGGAAGGUACGAUGGUGAGCCGUAGCACCUCUCUAAGCCCCUAAAAAUGGGUUUUUAUUGAAUAAGGUGAAGCAAGUAUGACAAUUAACUAGGAAAUCAAUAGAUACCAAUGAAAUGAUCAAAUAAUAAAAUGAAUCACGCAUAAGAGUAAGCAAAAUGGGAGUAGAAACGUACCUUGGCAGUAAGUAAUAGUGCGCUAUCAUGGAAAUAGGGUUAGCUCAAUCAUAAAAUCAUCACAUGCAUAUAAAAAAGUAAGACAAAGAUUGAGCAAUAUUCAUUAAGCUUAACAGUUGACAAUCAUAAGAGAAUGCUCUUAUGUAGGGUUCCCACCAAAACCUAAUUGAUCUUGCGUGAAUUAAACUCACAAAUUCUAUUAUGUUGGAAUUAUGAAAAUUGUUUUCACGCUUAUUAAAAACAGUGAAAAAAUUGGAAAAUUAUUAAACCAAAGAAAAUCGCAAGACGCAUGCCUAAAUAAAAAAUAAUAGCAAAUUUAUUAAAAAUCAGGUUUUGGUGAAUCAGGUUUUGAAUGAAGAAAAGAAAAAAGAAAGAGAGAAGAAAAUAUUGAUAAUAAUAGUAAUAAUGAUAAAUAAAUAAACGAAUAAAAUAAAGUAAAAUAAUAAAAUAGAUAAAUAAAUGGUUAGAUGAGAGAUGAAUAAGUAAAAUAAUUUAAUUAGGUGAAUAAAUAAAUAAAUUUAAAAGAUUUAAAAGCAUUUGAAAAGCAAAUUUUUGAAAAUCAAGUUUUGAAGCUUAUUUGAAAGCUGAGGUUCUAAGAACUAAAUUUGAAAAUACGAAUUUUAGAAAUAAUUUAAAAUUGGGAGUCAUGAAAGCUGGAACUUGGAAAAUUUAUUUGGGGAUGAGAUUUCUUAAAAAUUAAAUAUGAAAAUUGGGAUUUUGGAAAGUUAUUUGGAAAUUAAAGUUUGGAAAAUUAAAUUUGAAAAUUAUUUAAAAGGAAUUGGAGUUCUGAAAAUUGAAUUUAAGAAUUGGAGGUUUAGAAAUUAAAUUUAAGAAUUGGAAUUUUAGAAAUUAAAUUUGAAACUAAAGUUCAGAAAAUUAAAGUUUCGAAAGUUAAACUUAAGAAUAAGAGUUUUGAAAAUUAAAUUGAAAAUUAAUUCUGGAAGUUGAACUUCAAAAGAUUAUUUGAAAACUAAAAUUUUGGGAGAAUUAUUUAAGAAUAGAUUUUUUUUAAAAACUAAAAUAAACACUCAACAUCAAAAAGUGAAGGAACCAGAGAAUGACAGACGACUACUUGGUUUACGUGCCAAAAGUGGCUAUGCACAAGUGCAGAAAUGGGCCCGAGGUCAUUGAGACCACACUAUAGGGAUAGGCUCAAGGUGGAAAAAGCCCUUAAGUAAUGUUCACAGGCAUUGAGCAUUCUUGUAGCCCAAAAAAAAAAGACAUUGCAACAUGUGUGUUAUGCCUGUAAGCACGCACUUUCCUGACAACUUUGUUCUUGGUGCUCCAUUCCACGUCCCCUUGAACUGGAAGCGCAUCCCUGUCGACCCUGACGGCAACAAACGGGGAACCACCUAUGCCCACGAUGGCUCGGAUCCCGGUCUUUGCCAUCGGAAGACAAUUGUUGAUGUCCACUUGAGUCGAUUCACGACGAAUCAAUCAAUUAGUAGUGAAUUCCUCGAAAAACCAGCUCCGGAUUCUUGUGGAUCCUCCUCUUCAUGCCUUCCAACCCCUCUACCAUCUUCGAAUCCAACAUAUAGAAAGGCUCCCCCGCUCUAAGCGCCGUCAACCUCCGAAGACUCGACACAAUCCUUUGUUUUCGGCAUAGAAAAGUAAAGCUGUCACGACCCAAAUUCCAGGCGACCCAAAAUUUGGCCCGUGACCCCAGGUCAAAGGUUUGACCCUAAGGGUUUCUCCUAUUCCAUAUUGGCAGUCAACUAAAACACUCUGAAAUUUUUUUUUUCACAUAUAAGUCCCACUAGGGUUCUCACCAACUAACAAUAUUUUAAAACCUUACUCAAACACAUCAAGAUUUAAUAAACAUCAUUGCAUCCCAAAAUAAAGUUUCAUAAAAAUCCCCUUCAUCAAACUAAGGUCUUAUUACAUUAUCCAUAAUUCACUUAUUACAAGGUCUCAAUACCACAAACACAAUAAAAAAAUAAAACCUUUCCACUAAACCGCUCCAAGGGCAUCCUGAAGUCUUCCCUGUCCCAUCUGUGGAUCCUUAGGAGUGAUAUCUGCAUCUAAAAAGAUAUAAAAAUGAAGGGGUGAGCAUUUCCACAUUGCUCAGUAGGGUGCCUAACACCCACAGGGUUAAUGGGGGAUUACUAUAUUUUGAGAACCCAAACGCAACAGUUCACCAAUAUAAAUCAAGUCACACAAUUUAACAUAUAACAUUAAACUCAAUUCCACAACAUCUAAUCAUUAAAUGAAUGCAUAUAAACGUAUGACACACAAUCAUACAAUGCAUUAUCGUUCUCAGGCUUUCAUCGAAGGAUACGCGUCCGCACCCAAAUAUACUCCCCAUUCGGAGUCUUCCCGGGGUAAACUUUUGGGUCUUUCACCCUAGGGAUCUCUCUCCCUUCUUAGUUCGCCUCACACGGGCUUUCACUUUUCAUCACUAUUUUAUUUUUUUCCAUUUCAUACACUUUUCACAAUUUUUUUCUUCUUCAUACAACCAUGAUGCAAAUGAAUGCCACAAACUCCAAAAUUCCUUAAUAAUUUCAACAAUUCCAACAUUUUCAAUAACCCAAUAAAAUAAAAUUUUCACAUUAAAAUUCCUGAAAAUAUACCAACGAAUUUUCGGAAAUUCACACAUCAAUAUACUUGAAUUUAUAUCACAAUUUCAGAAUUUUUCAAUAAUUCUAAUAAUUCCUAAUAUUUGAAAAUAACUAAUUUUUUACAAUAAAAUUGCCGCAAAUAUUCCAAUCAAUUUUCAAAAAUUCAUAAAUCACCAGAUUUGAAAUCUUGUCCUAAUUCUGGAAUUUUCCUACAUUUUUAACAAUUUUUAACAACCUAAAAUAAUUAUUUAUCAAUUACAAAGAAUUCUGGAAAUUACAAAAGAAUCCAGAAAAAAUCCCAAAAUAUUCCAGAAAAUUCACCCAACAUCACAAUUACCUACUUAACUCAUAAUUAUCAGAUUUAGGGUUAGGGUCCCCUACCACAAAUCUGAGAAUUUGGCCGUUAAAAACGAAAUCAGCCAUCGUAGACUUGUUCCUCUAGUCGAAUAGAGUAUUUCCUUCGAAUUUGAGCCGAAACGGAGAUCGUUUGGUCAUCCAAACGCCCGGUUAAAGAUCUGGCGAGUAUCCUAAUUUAUGCACAAGUAGCCUUUCUCUCUCUCUCUCUCCCCCGCGUGCUGCAGUUUUCAAAAACUCUUUCUUUUCCUUUUUUUUUUUUUUUUUUUUAAACCAAGGCUUCCUACCACCAGCCCAUGUCUAAGCCCAACUCCAUUAAUUUUUUUUUUCUUUUACAACCCAUUACCUUAACAACCCAUAUUCAAAGCCCAUUGAAUAUAUUUAUUUUAUUUAUUUUAUUUUCUUUUCUUUUGUUUAUUCUAAUUGUUUUAUUUGAUUUCCAAUUCAUUUUUUUAACACACAAAUUUAUUUAUUAACACCAAUUAAAAACUAAUUUUCUCAAUAUUAUUAUUCAUCAAUUUAAUUUAAAUUUUCUUAAUUAAUUCUAAUUAAUUUUUUUUAAUUAAUUAAUUUUUUUUUCGUUUCCAGAAAAUUUCAAUUUCUAAAAUCCUAAGAAAUUUUCUACCCUAAAGCUGACAUGACAUAAAAUUUCAACUCGUUUAAUUGACCGACACAAUAAAAAGAAAUUCACGAAUCCGAAAUUGACACGUGUUCUCCAAACACUUUUCUUUUUUACUUUUCAACCAUCACACAAAAUAAGACUUUUCAAACUAAAAUUGCUAACGUGGCAUAAAAUACCCGGUCAUUACAAAAGCGACGAUGAGAUCGAUGCCGAUGCGUACCAGGAGCUCAUAUAGAGUGGAUCUCUUGCACAAAGCUUCAGUGCAAUACACAUCUACUCGCUCCAGUUACAACUCCACGUCGUCAUGAUAGUGAACCGUGGAGUUGACGUCGUGCCUAGCACGGAUCAGUUUCUAGAACUUAGCUUCGGUCUAGUUCCCACAUUGAGCACUUGGACAUGCAGGAUUUCAUGCAUUUUCCAGAGAGAGUGGGGAUUUGAGAGUGAGAAAGAUGGGUUUUAGAGAGUCGAAUGGGAUUGGGUUGUGAAGAGAGAAAAUGGUAGGCUUGUUAUGGGUGAUACGUUGAAGGGUAAAAGAAAAUGGGUCGAAGGUAGAAAGAGGCCAUGUGCAUGAGAACUCAUGCUUGUGGAGAAUGGAGGGGAAGAUACUAAAAUGGGUUAGGUAUGAGGGAUGAUUGGAAGAUAUUGAGAGAAAUGGGUAUGAGGGGUAUGCUGAUGAAGAUAUGGGUGGUGAUGGGCAUUGGUGGGUAUGAAAGUUGAUUAGUGAAAUGACUUAUGGGGGAUGUGUAUAUGGGUUCAUGAACGAUGGGGAUGAAUGGGCAGGCACGAAUCUAGGAUUUUGAUGGAAGCUUUGGACGGAUUAUAAGAAACAAAGCAUGCUCUAAAAUUAAACUAAACUCAUUUUCAUGUUGUACGAAAUGGAUACAAGCGGGUGGAACGAACAGUGAACACUUGUGCGAUUAAACAAAUAUCAAAUUCUAAGAAAACAAUUCAAUAUCUUACUCAUUUAUAGGAGAAAUCAAAGAAACUAAAAAGAGAACAAAACAGAGCAAGUUUGAAGCAAGCUUAGAUUCAACAAGAUCCAAUCCACAACAAACGAUGUUCAAGAUUAGCAAAGGCAAUGAAGGAAAAUAAAGAAAUCCCAAAACAAAGGUACCCAUAAUGGCCAUACUCGAGCUCCUCCGAUGAAGCUCAUUUCUCCAGAAUACUCGUAGACCCUCACUCUGCUCGUUUUUUUUAGCCCUGCCCCCAAUGUUCUCUUGAAAAAAAAAAAAAAAAAAAAAAUCCUUACAAGCAAUCCUUUUUCUACUUUUUCGUUCACCCCCGGAGCUAAAAAACAGCUCAACCAUCUGUCUUAUGGUCGCCCAGAACAGUUCACCCAUAAAUCUUGUGGCCACCCCGAACAACUCACUUAUCCAUCGUUUUUCCUUCACCUCCAGUCCUCUUUGGUUGCCCUAGAACGGCUCAUUCUCGGGAUGGCCAGAAAAAAAAUAAAAAAUAAAAAUCCACCUAUCCGAGGGGGUUUACAGCAUAUUGUCAUGUACAUUAUAAAAAAUCAUAGCUUGGGUCUCUAAGUCUGAUCUUUUACUUUUUUGAUAUAGUUUUACAUGUGGUUGUCACUUGUCUUCAUCAACUCCUUCAGAUCUAGGAAAAUUCAAUCUUUAUGUGUUAAAUUCAGGCAUAAAUUUCUUAUAAAAAUCAUAAUUCAAUUUAUGAAUGGUCAUUUAGGUAAAAUUUGAAAGUGACAUUUCCCUCCAUUUUAUAAGAAACCUUUGAUAACUUCCUCUUUUAGUUAAAACAAUUUGAUGACCAAGAAUACCUUUAAUCUCAUCUUUCAAAUAAGGUUUGGUUGGGAGUGUUGGGUUGGAUGACCCAUAUGUUAAACCUAACAAAGCCCAUUUAAUAUGGGCAUUUUAUCUUUUGGUGUAGGGUUUUUUUGAGAACCCAAAAAAAGGAUUCACUUAUCAUAAUACAAAGUGAGAAGAGUGUAGUUGAUGCUUUUGAGAAGAAAAAAUAGAGAAGAAUAAGAAAGAAAGAAGAAAAAAUUGAAGAAUGUGAAGGAGUUGUUUUCAUCUAAUAAAUAGAUCUCCAUGAUCUAUGGUUCGUUUAAGCCACAACUUUGUUAAUUAGUUCAUCACUUGUAGCUCUUGAUUCUAGAUGGUGGGAUCAUUGAUUGGACUGCCUAUUUCAUUUUAUAGUUGCCUAAACAAAGUUGGUCGGAAAUAGAAUUACUUCAAAGUAGUUUUGAUCAAUCUUUUUUAUAUUUGUUUUUCACCGUUAGAUUGUGUUGAAAUUUGGAUAGUAACUUCGUCUCUUAAGCCUCUUGAUUUUCAUUUGUAGGAUCAUUGAUUGGAGUAGUCAGUUAUAAGUUAUAAUCAUUUGAACAAAGAAUGACAAAAAAAGAAAGGAGAAUAUCUCGGUUCUGUGCAAUCUUCAUUAUAGAGCGAUAUCUCUUUGAUCUCUGGUCUAAUUAAGGUAAAAUUUUAAUAGAAGGUUUAUCACUCGUGGUUCUUCAAUCUGAAAGGUUGGAUCAUUGAUUGAAGUUUUUUGGACAGAUUAGUAUACCCGAAUAGAACAUCGAAUAUGCGAUCUAUUUCUUUCACUCUUUUACCAUUUGGUGUUUAUGUUUGUGAAACCAUUUUUUUUCUUGAUGAUUGUUGUUGUUGAUGGUCCCUAAUUAAUGUUGGGAUAGAUUGUGCACUCUCACUUUGGUUGAUAGUGAAGCUUUUUUGAGUGGACUCUAGUCCGUGGUUUUUACUCAUAUUAAGAAGGUUUUCCACAUUAAAAAUUUUUGGUACAUGUGUAUGGUUUAUUUUAGUUAAUAAAUAUUUUUGUGUUAUUGUGUUGAAUUUUCUCCCAACAAAGAGUGAGUGUUUGAACUAUCAUUUGAUGUAGCGGUUUCAGGAAUGGAAGAGAAAGUGAGGGUCUUAAUGUUGAAGAUGUUAUUAGUGCCAUAAUAAGUGAAAUACAUAAGCUUGGAGCUUAUUGCCUUCAUAAUUUUAUAGGACCAACAUUCUUUUGGUGGAGUUUUUUUAUUGGCACCUCUAUGGUAUCAUUCAAGACUUUUUUCACAAAAUAAUCAUAUCACUUUCCACAAAUUUCAUAAAUUUUGUUUUCCCAUCAAAUUAUGUCUUAAUAAUCUUCAUUAUUGAGAACAAUUUUUCAUUCAACAACAUACUAAGAGUGCAUUUGAUAGUGUUUUUAGUAGAGGUGUUUUCUUUGGAACUGUCUUUAGGAGAAUCACUUAUCAAGUGUUUCUCCGGAAAACACUUUAAGUGAUUUUUCAAAACUACAAGUGAUUUUUUUUUUUUAAAUAUUUGUUAAAUUUGGUGAAACACCUCAUUUUUUUUCUUUAUAAAAAGUACUUUUUAGACUAAAAGCGCUUUAUAGAAUUACCACUAAACGGACUCUAGGUUAGCAUGAAAGAACUACUACGCCUCACAUAUGUAACUUACAUGCUUACUAAAAGCAUUAGCUUCACUCUAGGUUGUGCCCUUCAUUAGUACAGGAAACAAAUCAUUUAUGCCUACUAGGAAGCAUUCCAAUCAUAAGCAUAAAUGGACAACGAUCAGUAGACUUGUUCAUGAAGCUAUCAUAUGUAAAUUUAGCCAUUAGAAUGAUCUCUUUCCUGCUAAUAACAUGUUCUCCAACUAGGCAUUAAAGUAGAUCAACUAAGCUUCAAUUAAUAACUUCUAUUGAAGAAGAUGAGGUUGGAGUUAAGAAGAAUUUUUCAUUCAAGAUUAAAUCUUUUAGGCCAUUUUUGGUUGAUCAGAUAUAAGAUAAGAUAGAAGAUAUUAAUCAUAUCUCAUGUUUGGUUGGUGAUGAGAUAUAUUAUUCACACUUUUUUUUAUUUAUUCAUUUUACACGUAAUAUAUUAAUCGCAUGCUAAGAUAUGGAUAUGCAUAUUUCAUGUAUCAUAAAUUUAUUUUUUUAUCAAUUUUUUUUAUAUACUCAUUUUGUAAAAUAAUUUUUUUAUUAUAAAUUAAAUUUAUGUUUAAAAAAGAAAAACUAAAAAAAUUUAUAAACUUAUAUUAAUAUAUAAUAUAUAAAUUUUUUUUAUAUAUUGAAUAACAUAAUUAAUUUUUAUUUUAUUCUAUAAAAUUUAAAUAUUUUAAUCAUGAAUAUUGUUAAAUAUAAGAGAAAUUUCAAUUUUUUUUGUUAAAAUAUAUUAUAUUAUGGGCUCUAGGCCCAGUUAGGUUACUUGUAUAGUACUUGUACUAUACACUUGUACCGCACAGUACUUGUACUACACACUUGUACCGCUCCCUUGUACUACACCCUUGUACUACACACAUAUGCCUCCUAUAUAAAGGCACUGAUGUAUAUUCUUUUAAUCAUAGAAUAGAAUACAAUUAUUCUAUAUUUCUAACAUGGUAUCAGAGCCACUGCUCUGAACUUUUUCUUAGCAGUCUUGUCUUCAUUAGUGUGACUUCCUUCUUUCACUAAACGCUUCCGUCAUCACAACUGUCGCUGUAGCCUCUUGCCGUUGAACCUCCGACGUCAUCCAGUCGUCGUCCUUGGGUUCCGGACCUGCAGCCGCCGUCGUUAAGAAGUUUCACACUGCACAGACCACUGCCCUUUGCAUCACCGCUGCGAAUAUUGCUCCGAUUUCAUUUUUGAAGGUACCACUGAGAAUGUCCAGCGCCGAUCUACACAUCCGUGGAUAUCUCGCCGCCAUCGGAGACCACACGAGCCCCCACGCACCGCUCAAAGAUUCUGCGGCGCCUCCACGCGCUGCCACGUCAGCCCUAGCUGCGUCAGCAUCCACUGAUCUGUUGACGUUAUCUCCACGUCAUCUUCAGUCGUUGACCGUUGACCGUUGACCACCGUUGACCGUUGACUUUGACCCGUUGACUUCCCAGUUGCCCUUUUUCCCCGCCAGGUUCUCCUUACCCAGUUUUUCGUGUAGAUUUCAUUUCUACAGCCGGUUUUUGCAUAUUGUGUCCCUAAAUGGAUAAGAAGGAUGUUUUUCUUCCUCGCCCCAUCCAUACUGUAUUGGAGGGGACUAAAAAUUACUUAUCCUAGUCUCAAGCUAUGCGCAGUUUUCUUAAGAGCCACAUGCUCUGGCAUUAUUGUAUUGGUACAAUAACUAUUCCUGUCAAGGGAGCAAGUGAAGAAGAUGCUGCAUUUCUUAGUCGCAUAAUUGAAUGGGAUAGUCAUAACCACAUGAUCCUCACAUGGAUCCGGAACACUUCCAUUCCCUCUAUUUCCAAUCUAUUGGGUAACUUUGACGAUGCAAAAUCUGCAUGGGAUAUGUUGACCAAAAGGUACUCCACUACUCAUGGAUCCAUGAAAUAUCAGUUAGUGGUUGAAUUGCAUCAACUCAGGCAAGAACCGAGGCAAUCCAUCGAUGACUAUUAUGAUCAGCUUCGCUUCAUUUGGGACCAAAUUGACCUUUCUGAUCCAACUUGGGCAUGCUCAAAAGAUGCUCAGCAAUAUGCUUCCAUCAGAGAUGAAUUUCGUCUCUAUGAAUUCUUGAUGUCACUUCACAAGGACUUUGAGCCCAUUCGUGGUCAGCUGCUAAAUCGCAGUCCUGCUCCCUCUUUUGAUACUGCUAUGAAUGAGUUGGUUAGAGAAGAAGCUCGUCUUGCAACCCUUCAAGCCCAUAAUAAGCUCAAUAUUUUGGCUAUUACUCCAUCUACUCCACUCAUAGAGCAACCCUAGCAAUUAGAUGAUUUUUCUGGCUCUAGCAAUUGUCGCAAGCAAACCAACAAGAAGUUCUGCAACUAUUGCAAGCGUCCUAGCCACACCAUUGAGACUUGUUACCGUCGUAACAAAUCUACUGCUGCUGUUGCUAAUACUGAACCUACUCUGCCAACGGUUUCCACGUCCCAGUCUUCUGGAUCUACUAUCAACCUCUUCUCCACUGAACUACAGGAGAUCAUAGCUUAGGCUGUUCAUAUGGCUGGUAAUGCAUCUUUUUCCACUGCCUUAUCUGUUCUACCUGGUAAGUCUCAAACUUGGCUCUUUGAUUCUGCCUGCUGCAAUCACAUGACACCUCACUCAUCCCUGUUCUCCAACCUUGACCCUGCACCACAUCCUCUAAAUAUUCAUAUAGCCGAUGGUUCCACCAUGCAUGGAAAUAGUCUAGGUUUUGUUUCAACCUCUACUCUUUCUGUUCAUGGAGUCUUCCACGUACCUGACCUAUCCUAUAAUUUGUGCUCUAUGGGACAAUUAGCUGAACUAGGUUAUCGCCUUAUUUUUUACUAUUCUGGGUGUAUUGUGCAAGAUCCGAGGACGGGGCAGGAGCUUGGGACCGGUCCUAGAGUUGGGCGUAUGUUUCCCGUGAACAAUCUUCAUCUUCCACCUGUUGCUCCUAUUUCUGUUGCUGUUACAACAGCUGUAGUUUCUUCCUUACCUUCUCUUGCACUUUGGCAUUCUCGUCUUGGUCAUGCACCAUCUUCUCGGGUACAACAGUUAGUGUCUAGAGGUCUGUUGGGUUCUGUGUCUAAAGACAAUUUUGAUUGCACUUCAUGUCAGUUAGGAAAACAACCAGCUUUGCCUUUUAAUAACAGUGAAUCCAUUUCUAAAAGUAUUUUUGAGUUAAUUCAUUCUGAUGUUUGGGGACCUUCUCCUAUUGCUAGUAUUGGUGGAUCUCGAUAUUUUGUUGUUUUUAUUGAUGAUUAUUCUAGUUAUAGUUGGAUUUUUCCUAUGAAAUCUCGUUUCGAAAUUUUAUCAAUAUAUAGCAACUUUGCAAAAAUGGUUGAAACUCAAUUCUCCAAACGUAUCAAAACCUUUCGAUCUGAUAAUGCUCUUGAAUAUACUCAACAUGCAUUUCAAGCUCUGUUACAUUCCUAUGGCACUAUACAUCAUCUAACUUGUCCAGGUACCUCUCAGCAAAAUGGUCGAGCCGAAAGAAAACUUCGUCAUAUUCUUGACACUGUUCGUGCUCUACUUUUUUCUGCCAAAAUUCCUGCCCCAUUUUGGGGUGAAGCUAGUCUUCAUGCUGUUCAUGCAAUUAACCGCAUUCCAAGUGCUGUCAUCCAUAAUUAGACUCCGUAUGAGCGUCUCUUUGGGUCACCCCCUAACUAUCAUCACCUUCGCUCCUUUGGAUCCGCUUGUUUUGUUCUUCUUCAGCCUCAUGAGCACAACAAACUUGAGCCUCGAUCUAGACUCUGUUGUUUCCUUAGUUAUGGCGAAACUCAAAAGAGGUAUAGGUGUUAUGAUCCUGUCUCUCAUCGUCUUCGCGUUUCUCGUAAUGUUGUCUUUUGGGAACAUCGAUUGUUUUUUGAACUCUCUCACUUUCGUUCUUCCUUGACUAACUCCUCUGUUUUAGAAAUAUUUCCCGAUGAGUCUAUUGUUCCUUCUACAAAUACUUUUGAUCCUCGUUUAGACUUCUCUCCAGAUAUCUUUGAUGUUUCUCUUAGACAGGUUGCAGAUGAACAGAUUAAUCACGAGCUACCCCACUUUGAGCCUGGGUCCCCUGCUCCUGCUCUGCCUGAAGAUCCUCCACAAGACAUUCCACCUCGCCACUCAACCCGGGUAAGAUCCAUUCCUCCACACCUCCUUGACUAUCAUUGUUACACUGCCCUUGCUACACUUCACGAGCCUCAAACCUAUCGUGAGGCCUCUACUGACCCUUUAUGGCAGAUUGAAAUGAAAGAGGAACUUGAUGCAUUAACCAAAAACCAUACUUGGGACCUGGUUACUCUCCCUCCUGGACAGUCUGUGGUUGGUUGUAAGUGGAUCUAUAAGAUCAAGACUCGCUCUGAUGGAUCUGUUGAGCGCUAUAAGGCUCGUCUUGUUGCCAAAGGUUUUACACAAGAGUAUGAGAUUGAUUAUGAAGAGACGUUUGCUCCAGUUGCUUGUAUCUCAUCUGUUCGUGCUCUCUUAGCUGUUGCUGCUGCUCGUAAAUGGGAUCUUUUUCAGAUGGAUGUUAAAAAUGCCUUCCUUAAUGGGGAUCUGAGUGAAGAAGUCUAUAUGCAACCUCCUCCUGGUCUCUCUGUUGAAUCAAACAAAGUUUGUCAUCUUCGAUGUGCACUUUAUGGUCUCAAACAAGCCCCACGUGCUUGGUUUGCCAAGUUCAGCUCCACUAUUUUUCGCUUGGGUUACACCGCCAGUCCAUAUGAUUCUGUCUUAUUUCUUCGUCGUACUGAUAAAGGCACUAUUUUGCUUCUUCUCUAUGUGGAUGAUAUGAUCAUAACUGGUGAUGACCUUAGUGGCAUUCAAGAACUCAAGGAUUUUCUCAGUCAGCAGUUUGAGAUGAAAGAUCUUGGACAUCUCAGUUAUUUCUUGGGUCUUGAAAUUACUCAUUCCACAGAUGGUCUUUAUAUUACUCAAGCCAAGUAUGCUUCUGACCUGUUGUCUCAAGCUGGACUCACUGACAGCAAAACUGUUGACACUCCAGUUGAACUUAAUGCGCAUCUAACACCCUCGGGGGGGUAACCAUUGUCUAAUCUUUCUCUUUACAGACGAUUGGUUGGGAGCUUAGUUUACCUCACAGUUACUCAUCCAGACAUCUCCUAUGCUGUUCAUCAGGUGAGCUAGUAUUUGUCUGCUCUACGAUCAACUCACUAUGCUGCUGUUCUGCGCAUUCUUCGAUACCUGAAGGGUACCCUUUUUCAUGGCCUUUUCUACUCAGCUCAGUCUCCUCUUGUACUCCGUGCAUUCUCAGAUGCUGAUUGGGCAGGAGAUCCUACUGAUUGCAGGUCCACUACAGGUUAUUGCUUCCUCCUUGGUUCUUCUUUGAUUUCUUGGCGAAGUAAGAAACAAACUUUUGUGGCCCGCUCUAGUACUGAAGCAGAAUAUCGUGCCCUUACUGAUACCACAUCUGAGCUCCUUUGGCUAAGAUAGCUUCUUAAGGAUUUGGGUGUAUCCACCUCCUCUGCUACUCCUCUUUAUUGUGACAACCAGAGUGCCAUUCAUAUUGCUCACAAUGAUGUUUUUCAUGAACGGACUAAACACAUCGAGAUUGAUUGUCAUUUUAUCCGUUAUCAUCUUGUCCAUGGUGCUCUUAAGCUUUUCUCCGUCUCCUCCAAAGAUCAACUUGUAGAUAUCUUCACCAAGUCUCUUCCUAAGAGACGCACUCGUGAUUUAGUUGACAACCUCAAGUUGGUCUCACAUCCACCUUGAAGUUGAGGGGGGCUGUUAAAGUAUAUUAUAUUAUGGGCUUUAGGUCCAGUUAGGUUACUUGUAUAGUACUUGUACUAUACACUUGUACCGUACAGUACUUGUACUACACACUUGUACCGCACCCUUAUACUGCACCCUUGUGCUACACACAUAUGCCUCCUAUAUAAAGGCACUGAUGUAUAUUCUUUUAAUCACAGAAUAGAAUACAAUUAUUCUAUAUUUCUAACAGAAAUGGAUUCACUGUUAUUAAAAGGCAAAGCUGGCUGUUUUCCUAACUGACAUGAAGUGCAAUCAAAAUUGUCUUUAGACACAGAACCCAACAGACCUCUAGACACUAACUGUUGUACCCGAGAAGAUGGUGCAUGACCAAGACGAGAAUGCCAAAGUGCAAGAGAAGGUAAGGAAGAAACUGCAACUGUUGCAGCAGCAACAGAAAUAGGAGCAACAGGUGGAAGAUGAAGAUUGUUCACGGGAAACAUACGCCCAACUCUAGGACCGGUCCCAAGCUCCUGCCCCGUCCUCGGAUCCUGCACAAUGCACCCAGAAUAGUAAAAAAUAAGGCGAUAACCUAGUUCAGCUAAUUGUCCCACAGAGCACAAAUUAUAGGAUAGGUCAGGUACAUGGAAGACUCCAGGAACUGAAAGAGUAGAGGUUGAAACAAAACCUAGACUAUUUCCAUGCAUGGUGGAACCAUCGGCUAUAUGAAUAUUUAGAGGAUGUGGUGCAGGGUCAAGGUUGGAGAACAGGGAUGAGUGAGGUGUCAUGUGAUUGCAGCAGGCAGAAUCAAAGAGCCAAGUUUGAGACUUACUAGGUAGAACAGAUAAGGCAGUGGAAAAAGAUGCAUUACCAGCCAUACAAACAGCCUGAGCUAUGAUCUCCUGUAGUUCAGUGGAGGAGAGGUUGAUAGUAGAUCCAAAAGACUGGGACGUGGAAACCGUUGGCAGAGUAGGUUCAGUAUUAGCAACAGCAGCAGUAGAUUUGUUACGACGAUAACAAGUCUCAAUGGUGUGGCCAGGACGCUUGCAAUAGUUGCAGAACUUCUUGUUGGUUUGCUUGCGACGAUUGCUAGAGCCAGAAAAAUCACCUAAUUGCUGAGGUUGCUCUAUGAGUGGAGUAGAUGGAGUAAUAGCCAAAAUAUUGAGCUUAUUUUGGGCUUGAAGGGUUGCAAGACGAGCUUCUUCUCUAACCAACUCAUUCACAGCAGUAUCAAGAGAGGGAGCAGGACUGCGAUUUAGCAGCUGACCACGAAUGGGCUCAAAGUCCUUGUGAAGUGACAUCAAGAAUUCAUAGAGACGAAAUUCAUCUAUGAUGGAAGCAUAUUGCUGAGCAUCUUUUGAGCAUGCCCAAGUUGGAUCAGAAAGGUCAAUUUGGUCCCAAAUGAAGCGAAGCUGAUCAUAAUAGUCAUUGAUGGAUUGCCCCGAUUCUUGCCUGAGUUGAUGCAAUUCAACCACUAACUAAUAUUUCAUGGAUCCAUGAGUAGUGGAGUACCUUUUGGUCAACAUAUCCCAUGCAGAUUUUGCAUCGUCAAAGCUGCCCAAUAGAUUGGAAAUAGAGGGAAUGGAAGUGUUCCGGAUCCAUGUGAGGAUCAUGUGGUUAUGACUAUCCCAUUCAAACAUGCGACUAAGAAAGACAACAUCUUCUUCACUUGCUCCCUUGACAGGAAUAGUUAUUGUACCAGUACAAUAAUGCCAGAGCAUGCGGCUCUUAAGAAAACUGCGCAUAGCUUGAGACCAGGAUAAGUAAUUUUUAGUCCCCUCCAAUACAGUAUGGAUGGGGCGAGGAAGAAAAACAUCCUUCUUAUCCAUUUAGGGACACAAUAUGCAAAAACCGACUGCAGAAAUGAAAUCUACACGAAAAACUGGGUAAGGAGAACCUGGCCGGGAAAAAGGUCAACCAGAAAGUCAAUGGUCAACGGUAGGUCAAAGGUCAACAUCUAGUCAACGGUCAACGGUCAACGACUGAAGAUGACGUGGAGAUGACGUUAGCAGAUCAGUGGAUGCUGACGCAGCUAGGGCUGAAGUGGCAGCGCGUGGAGGCGCCGCAGAAUCUUUGAGCGGUGCGUGGGGGCGCGUGUGGUCUCCGAUGCCGGCGAGAUAUCCACGGAUGUGUAGAUCGACGCUGGACGAUCUCAGUGGUACCUUCAAAAAUGAAAUCGGAGCAAUAUUCGCAGCGGUGAUGCAAAGGGCAGUGGUCUGUGCAGUGUGAAACUUCUUAACGACGGCGGCUGCAGGUUCGGAACCCAAGGACGACGAUUGGAUGACGUCGGAGGUUCAACGGCAAGAGGCUACAUCGGCAGUGGUUAACGAUGAUGGAAGCGUUUAGUGAAAGAAGGAAGUCACACUAAUGAAGACAAGACUGCUAAGAAAAAGGUCAGAGCAGUGGUUAAUUUUUAUUUUAUUCUAUAAAAUUUAAAUAUUUUAAUCAUGAAUAUUGUUAAAUAUAAGAGAAAUUUCAAUUUUUUAAAUAGAAAAUAUUGGAAUGUGAUAUAAAUUUUAUUUUAAACAUUAAAAAUAAUAUAUAUAUUUCCCAUUAUUAUUUUUAUUCAUUUCACAAAUUAAAUAUAAACAUAAUAUAAUAUAACAUAUUUCAUUGGAUAUGUUAUCUUAGAAUGUGAUAUCCUACAUUGGAUAGGAUAAAUUUUUUUUGGCGUUAUAUAAGUAUAAGUUUCUCUUAACCAUGUAGACAUGUUUUAAAGCCGUGAGGGUCGUUUUAGGUCAAGAGUAGAUAAUAUCUACAUGGUUGAGAUUAGGUCGUUACAAAUGACAUCGGAGAUGAUCCCUGACCCUAGUGUGGGGAUUUGUUUUGGCCUCGUGAAGGGUGUCUGUUUGUUUGGUCUCACAAUCCCGUGAGACACAAUGAGGACAUUGUGUCAUGAAAAGAAAAAGUUCUUUGUAUUAUAUAAGUACGAGUUCCUUAGAUAUAUAUAUAUAUAUAUACACACAUAAACAUAGCCUUAAGGUUUUUUUAUUUUAUUUUUUUUUGGGAUUUGGAAAACUUGGAAAAACUCAACCUUUUUUUACUUUCAAAUUUUUUUUUAAAAAAAUUCAAACAAAAUCUCACUCCAAUCCUAAACAAAAAUAAUAUAACAUAAUAUAUCUCAUUCAAUAUAUUACCUUAAAAUAUCAUGUUCAUAAGAUAUGUAUAUCUAAGGAUAUCAUAUCUCAUUGAUAAUCGUAUCAUAGGAUAUGUAUUUUUUAUCUAGUAGGAUGUGAUAUCCUAAAAUAUACAUAUCUUAUCCUAUUAUAUCAUAUCCUCCAACACCUUAAGGUUUUUUAUUUUAUUUUUUUGGGAUUUGGAAAACUUUGAAAAACUAAGGGCCUGUUUGGUUGCUGUUUUUGAAAAUUGUUCUAGAAAACAGUUUUUGAGAGCAGUUUUUAAGAACAGUUUUUGGUGUUUUUAGAAAAAAAAUUGUGUUUGGGAACUGAAUUUUGGAAAAUAGUUUUUGUUCUCAAAAACAAAAAAAAAACAUGUUUGAAAGAUGUUUUUUUUUUUCUUUUCCAAUUAAUAAAAUAUUUUCUUCAAGUAACUUUAUAUUAUAAAUUUAUAAAUAUUUUUAAAUACACAGUUUAUUUAAAUUUAAAAAAUUAUUUAAUUUUAAAAUUUUUAUAUUAGUUGAUAAAUUAAGAUUGUUGACGUAUAAUGUAGUGUAUAAAAUUUUUAUAUAGUGUAGUGUAAAAAAUUAUUUAAAUUAAAAUUUUUAAAUACCAAUAGAAUUUAAGGCUAUGUUUAAAUAAGAAUUAAGAUCGUUGACGUAGUGUAUAAAAAUAUGAAAGAAAAAUAAAUAAAAAUAAAAAUAGAUUUGAUAUUAAUUAGAUUUUAAAGACUUUUUUUUUUAGUUUUUAUAAAACUUGAAGCAAAAAUUGGGGAAAAAAAUGAAAGAAAAGUAAAUAAAAAUAAUAAUAGUUUGAUUAAUUUUAAAAUUAAAAUAUUUUUUUUAUAUUUUUUAAAAAUAAAUCAAACAUGAUAAAAUCAUUUUUAUUGAUUUAAUAUUUAAUUUUAUUAAAAAUUAUAGUAUAUUCUAUUAAGAUGAGAUAAAAAGUUUUAAAAAGAAUUAAUUUAAUAUUUAUAACUAAUUUUUACCUAACAAGCUUCUAAAUAAAAUAAAUAAGACAUCAAAAUAAAUGCAAGUAAGGAGAUGGUCACAUCUCUUUCCACAAAUUCUUCACCACCCCAAGAAAAUAGAUGAGUAACAUCCAAGAGCUAAUCACUGCAGAGUCCGAGUUUAAAUCAGACUGCCCAAGUGGAUGGAACCCCUAGCCCCACAUCUCUUUUCCUCUCAAGAUUGACAUAGCCCUUAGAAUAUGCCGAUGGGAAUCCCUUUGACCGUUUGAUUUCAAUAAUUUUGAUUUCAAUAAUGUUAAAAAAUUAAUUUUUUAAUGUUUGAUUUAUUACAAAAAUAUACCAUUAAAAUUAAUUAAAAUUUAUAUAUUUUAAAUUAUAUAAUCAUAUGAAAAAAUUAAAAUAAGUUUGAAGUAGUAUAUAGAAAAUAAUUUAAUAAUUUUGAUUUUAUUUUUUAUUUUUAUUUUUUACUUUUUACUUUAUUAUAAUUUUUAAAUUAUUUUUGCUUUCAUGAGAUCGGAAGGUGGGAAGAAUGGAAGAAACAAAGAGUGGAGGUCCAUGGUCAUCAAUUGGAUUUAACUGGCCUUUGGAGUCCGGAUGAGAGAGAGAAAGAGCAGAUCUAGAGAGAGAAAGAGUUCUUGGUGAUUCAACACCUCAUCUUCUUCCGAUUCUCUUCCUUUUUUCCAUUUUCCUUGAGGUGUUUUACCCGUCAAGCCUGGAUUUUCCCGUUUGAUUUCCAUGUCUUUAAGCAAGGUUUUUGUUUUUUUUUUUUUAAUAGAACAACUCAAGAAAAAUCAAAACGAGAAAAAAUCAGGAAUUUUUUUUUCUAUUUUCAUUCUCGUUCCCCACUCAGCAUCUAAAUAAGAAAAUAUAAACGAAAAAAAAAAACUAACAACAGGUGAUAAAAAAAAAAGCUCAGAUCUCAUUCGAAUAACAUAACUGAUAUCUCUUUACCCAGAUCUAGCAUUUUUCUCAACAAAUAUUGCCAAAAAAGCCUGUUUUACUAGAUCUAUCAAAAAUAACUUCAACAUAUGCGGAAAUUACCUUUGUUUCUUGCUAUUGGAGAUGUUGCGACUGUGCUGGAGAAGAGAUGAGAAUGGGAAGAAAAAAAACACAGAGAAUAGAUGGGUUUUUUGUUGUUUAAUUUUGUUCUGUAAACAGUAAAAAAAAUGGGGAAAACAACAUUUUGUUGUUAUCUAAACAGUGCCAUUUUGAGAACAUGAGGAACAACAAAAACAAAAACGACUCUCUCAACCAAACAAGUUUUUGAUGUUUUUUUUUUUCAAGAAUAGAAAACACAAAAAACUUGUUUGGGGAAGGGGGUGUGUUUUUGUUUUUUUAUGUUUUUCGUGUUCUCAAAAACCACUUUUUUAAGAACAAUAAAAAAAUAUUUUCAUUGUUUUUUCACUAUUCAAAGAAUAGAUUGUUUUUCGUGUUUUCUCUUCUUCUUUUUUGUGUUUUCUUAGAUGCUUUUUGUGUUUCCACAAAGGUGAGCUCCACCCAACCACCACAUCCCUACUUGCAAACCCUUUCUUCUUCCUUAAAUUAUUGAAAUUAAUAUACUUACACAUAUUACAAAGUCAUCAUUUGUUUAAAAAAAUUAUAACUAGUGUAAAAAUUUCAAAAUAGAAUAAUUUUUUUUAAUUAAAUGAAUUAUGCACAUGAAAAUUAUUAAUAUAUUUAUAAUAUCAAAUUAAUGGAAGAAAACACUUUAUUAAUUCAAAAAAUAAGUUUCAAACAUGUUUUUAUUUAUUUAUUUAUUUUAAAAAACUUUUUUAUCAACUCAACCAAACAUGUUUUUUUUUUUAGAACAAAAAUUGUUUUUCAAAAUUCAGUUCCCAAGCACAUUUUUUUUUUGAAAACACAAAAAACUAUUCUCAAAAACUAUUUUCUAGAACAGUUUUUUAAAAACAACAACCAAACAGACCCUAAACCUUUUUUACUUUUCUAAAUUUUGAAUCCCCACAUAGAAUCUCUCAUUGCAAUUCUAAACAAAAAUAAACUAACAUCUCUCAUGUGGAAUAGUAAUAAGAAACUUUUUCCAAAAACAUAAUAGACUUUCGAUUUUACCUCAUGUUUUUUGAAUCCAAGGAAUAAUGAUCUUAGCAUUUUUCUCAGCCAAUAUAAAUCUCAAACAACAUUCUUCUCAAUCUUUAUAAACAUGAGGAUGUAGGUUCCUAAAAAGAUCGAAUGAAAUGGUUUUUCUUAAGGAAUGCAAUAAAAAAAAAGUUUGUGUCAAGCAAAUAAUUUCUUCAAUGCCAAUAUUUUCAUCAUUACUUGUGUCAAGCUUGUGCGUCUAGUGCAACUAGUGUUUUUUGGGCAGGCCUUGUGCAACCUAAGCAUGAAAGGUUGUGCAACAUUGCGACUCUCCCAAAGGGGGAAAUUAAAUUUUCUUCAAAUCUUUUACAACCUUCGCAUAUGCAUUAUGCAUCUUAUAUAAUAAGUAUGACUGAAAACCUAUUUUGAAGUUCAUUUGAAUUCUAGAUUAAUACAUUUGAUCUUAUUUGAAAUGAUCCUCAUUGACCCUUUAUAAAUCCUUGUGGUUUCAUUUGAGAGCAAUUUUUAGAAUUUAUUUAAUAAAAAUUCCUAGUGUCUCAAUAUAUGAUACAAGUUUUGCCAAAAAUUAAGAGGGUUUUGUGAAACCUUACUAUCAAUCCACUGUUCCUAUGUUUGACUUAACAAACAUUAGAAUUUUGAUUCAUUUUAAAUGAAUGAUAUUAUAAUUCACCUUCAUUUUUAUCGUGUUCCAUCCUAUUUCUACAUGUUAAACACACCUUUAGUGUAAGCAUAUGAUACACUAAAAAGUAAAGCUCAAAUUAAUUAUUGUUCAUUCCCCGUAAGAAGAGAGGUGAUGACAGAUCGCACUUUGUUUUGAGUAUCUGGCAAGUUAUUUUUAAAAAUAUUGUUUUUUAAAAAAAACUUGUUUGAAUAAUUUUUUUAAAAUAAUUUUUAUAUUUUGAUUUUGUAAAAGCAUUGUAAAUUUAAUUUAUAUAAAAUUAUUUAAAUUUAAUUUAAGUUAAAAAUGAUAUAAUUUUUAAAUUACAAAUAAAUUUAAAAAUAUAUAUAUAUUUCAAUAAAAUAUGGUGUGAACCUACAUUUUUCACGUGUGUCCUCACUUGAAUGAUGCGACUUGCUUUUUUAUUUGUGAAAAACUUAUUUUUGUAAAAAAAAUUGGAGUUGCCACUUAUUAUAUAUUUUUUUAAGAAAAAACAAAAUAAAAAAUAAAACUCUAAAAAUGAUUUUUUGUUUUGGAAAAGUUUGUCUUUAAAAACCGGAGUCUAAGUUCGGGGUCAGAUUAUUUAUCAAGAAAGUAUGGUGGUGACCCUUAGUACCUUUCUAAACUCGUAUACAUACGGUCUCUAUUUAUCAAAUCAAGAAAAUUGUGAUAAUCAAUUAAUUACUCAUGAAUAUUAAGAAAAUGAAUCACACAAAUAAAUAUAAGAGGAAAACAGUAAUAAAAACAAAUUAUAAAAAUAUACAAAAUAAAUGAGAAGGGAAUUAUGCAAAUUGAUUUAUUAAGCUAAUUAAAUGAGUUUAAUAAAAGCAAAUUUCAAAUUUUAGUUUUUCAAGAGAUUUCUAAGGACUUAAAAGAAAACAAUUUCAAAGUAAUGAUUUUAAUUUAUUUAUUUAUAAAAAAGUUUCAAUUCAUUCACGUGUGAUUUGAUUUAAUUUUAUUUGUUUUCAAUUUUCAAAAAAGUUAAUUACGGUCAUUAUUAUUAAAAUAAUUUAUUAAAAACAAUUUUUAUGUAAAAGAAGAAACAUGAAUUUGACUUUAUUUACGGCAAAUGAUUUUUAUUUACCUUUCUUAGGAAAAAAAUAAAUUGGGACUUAAUCUUCAUUUCACGUCCACCUCCUUCUCCUACGGAGGUUAUAUAUAAAUUUUAUUUAAAAAAUUAGGUGGAUGUAGAGAGAAAUGAGGUGGAUAUGUUUAACAACUCUCAUCAUUCUUCAACCCAUGAAAAUGGGUAAUUUUAAAAUCCACGUGGACAAAUAAAAUAGAAUUAUGCCUCUUUGCAUGCUUUGUCCUCCCAUUCACAACACAAACUAAAUUCAAAAGAAAGAAAACAAAUCAAUUAACAUCAAUACAUUUCCUUUUCAAUUAAUUUUGUCCAUUUUAGAAACUUGAAAUAAUCAUAUACUAUAUAUGUUUAAGCCCCCCCUUUUUUUUUUCUUGGUUGUUAAUAAUUGAGAAAAUAAAUUUUAAGGGUUUUUUUUUCCUUGGUUUGAAGUUUUAAUAAUAGACUUUGAUGUUUUGUUAUAGUUUGUUUUUAAGGUUAAGUUUUAUUUUUUAAAAUCUUGUGCAAAUAUGGGAAAUAAAAAAUUUUAUUUUAUUCCAAAUUUGAAAUUUGAAUGAUAUUUUUUUUUUUUUAUCAAUUUAUAUUUAAAUAUCAAACAAAUUCAAACUAUAGCAAUUUGAUCUUGUGCGAGAAAUUUGUUUUUGACAUAAAAUAUUUUUAAUAACUAAGUUUUACUUAAUUAGAUUUAUUAUUAUACAAAGAUUAAUUCUUAUUUAAGAUUUCUUUGUAAAAAAAACAAAAAUCUAGAUUCAUCAAACCCAUUUCUUUCACGUAAAUAAUAUUAUUUUUACUCGAAAUAUCUUUAAUUAAAGUGUUUCUCAAAAAGUGUUUUUAUCAUAAUCACCUAUAAAGUGUUUCUCUUAAAAAAAAAAAAAAAACUACCAGUGGUUUUUCAACACUACAAGUGAUUUUUAAAAAAUUUAAAAAUGUUUCUUAAUUUUACCAAAUACCUAAUAUUUUUUUAAAAACACUUUUAAGAUUAAAAGUGUUUUUUAGAAUCACUGUCAAACGGACUCUUAGAAUGUGUUUGACAGUGAUUCUAUGAAACGUUUCUAGUAUUUUUAACAUUUAAAUAAUAAAAAUUUUCAAGUAUUAGAAAUGUUAGAAACGUUUCCUAAAAUUACUACUAAACGGACCCUUAGAAUUUCACGUAUUUUUUUUUAAUUUAAAAUAAUUAUAUGUUACUUUUCAUAUUUUGCAAUUUUGAGGCUUUUAGUGAGCAUUAUGGAUGAGUUAUAUUUAUUAUAUGUAUAAGAAACUCUUAAAAUUAGUCUUAGACCAGGUUUUGAUUAUCUCAUUUAAAAAUCAAUUAAUGUCCAAUGAUGAUAGGGUAAACUUUUUAUGACAUUCGAGCAUCUUCAUUUGGGUGGAAGACCAUCCAUCAGGCUUAAGAAGAGUUUAAGAAUAAUAUUGUUACACCCCAACAAAAUGCUCUUGUGACUCUAACCCACAUGACUUUGAUAUCAAUUCUUAGAUCGAAUUUUGAUCAUUUCAAUUGUUACUCAAUGAGGAUAAAUUAAGUUUUUUAUGACAUUUGACCACUAUUAUUUGGGUGACUUAUCCUCUAUGCUUAGAAGUAAUAUUGUCCCGCCCUAAGAAUUAGACUUAUCCCUAGUAUGCAUACAUAAAAAUAUACUUACUUUAAUUAAAAUCUUGGUUGUUGGAUUUAAAAAAGCAAGGGAUAAGCCAUUAAUACUUGUUGCCCAUGGUGGGACAAUGAUAUUUGAUCAUGUGCCAUUAUAUUGAAUCUAGUUUCCUUAACCACGGUUUUAUGAAUAUUGAAGACUAAUCAUUUCUAUAUAUCUCACUCAGGUUGAGUAUAUCUUGUUUAAAAGUAGAUAUUUUUUAAUUUGUAUUCGAAAUAACUUCUGAAAUAAAAGACCUAUAUAAAAGCCCAUGUAAUUUGGCUUUUUAUUUUAUUUUUAUACAAUUUAGAAUUUUAAAAUUAUCAAUCUUUGAAAACUUCAAAUAUACAAACAUUUUUACUUCAAAAAAUAUAUACGGGAAGAUAAGUCUUUUUGUUUAAAAAUCAUUUUAAGAUAGCUACAUUUUAAAAUCCCUUUAAUGUCUGAUAUGCAUGUGAAAUGAUUGUGAAACCCUAAUUGAGAAGAAUGAAAAAGAAUUAUAAGAAGAAAUUUUCUUAUUUUAAUAAAUAUUAUCAUUGUGUUCAUGGUAGCUUGUCUUGGGCCUCUUGGAAGGUGGUGGGGAGAGAAUAAAAGAAAAUUAAACGUUGCUUCUCUAAUGGAAAAUGACAGCAUAAUAAUGAAUUAUAUUUUCAUUUUUGAAAUUUAUCUAUGAAAGUAUAUAAAAUAUGUCCAUCGUCACCAUUGUUUUUUAAUUGACAAAGUCGGUGGUUUUAAGCAUAAGAAAUGGGUUUCCUUUCAACUGCCCACCAUAUACACAUAGCACUUGCAUGCAUGGACUUUUAUCUCCUUUUCACACUCAACAACCCAACCCUCCUCUUCACACUUAACAACCCAACCAUCUUACUAGUCAUGAAACGGAACCUUGUCACGACCAAGGAUGAAAAUAUCAGUAAAGAUAUAUCAAAAAAUAUUUUGAUACAAAAUAUCCCAAAUUGAUAAGAACUUAUAAAUAAAUAAAAAAACUAUUAAAAAUAAAAUUAAAAGUAUAAUAGAUAUUUUAAAGUUGUUUUAUUUAAGAAAUUGAUAUAUGUAUGAUAUAAUUUAUCAUAUUUCAUAAUAAUAUUAUAUAUAUCGAUAAAAAAUAUAAAUUUUGUAAGUGUAUAUUUAUUAUUAAAUUAUAUCAAAUAUUAUUUGAUAAUAAUAUGUUUAAUUUUAAAAUAUAUUUGAUAUUAAAAUUAUAAUACAUUUAAUUCAAUUGUAUUAAAUAAUAUAAAAUAAAUGAUAUAUAUAUAUAUAUAUAUAUAUAUAUAAUGAUAUUAAAAACUUUAUAAAAAAAAUUAUCAUAAUAAUUUUUAUAUUUUUGGUAAUCAAUUAAAUGAAAAUUUUUCAUUUAAUUAUAAAAUAAUUAUAAUUAAUUUGUUCAUUAAAAUAUUAUUUUAAUAUUAUGUUUAUAUGACAAGUUUUAGUCUAUAUAUAUUUGGUGUAGUAUAUAUAAGAAGGGACAAACUUGCUCCAAUGGUUGGUUGAGCUGCGUGGUCCACCGAAACAAGAUAUUUUAAUCCCUUACCACAACCAUUAUUCUUUCAUGGAAAAAGCUCUAGAGUGUAGAAUGGGAGAAUUUGAAUAUGAUAGAAAUGAUGAAAGUGAAAUCAUCUUACUUUUCAUACAAAGAAAUGAGAAACCUUGCCACGAUCAUUAUUCUUUCAUGGAAAAAGCUCUGGAGUGUGGAAUGGGAGAAUUUGAAUAUAAUAGAAAUGAGAAUGAAAAUGAAAUCGUCUUACUUUUCGUACAAGGAAAUGAGAAACCUUGUCACAAUCAUUCUUCUUUCAUGGAAAGGGCUUUGGAGUAUGGAAUGGGAGAAUUUGAAUAUGAUAGAAAUGAAUGAAAGUGAAUUAAUUACCCUAAAAUAUGGAAGAGAGAAAUUAAGAGCUUAUUGGUAAUAGUUUUUAAAAAUAGAUUUAUGUUUUUUAGAAUAAAAAUAAUUUUUAAAUUUAAAAAAUACAUAAACUUUUGAUAAAAAACAGUCUUUUUUAUUGAAAACAUUUUUUUAGAAUAAAUUUGAAACAUUUUCAAUUAUUUUUAUAAGAUGGAAAGUACCCAAAAGAUGUUGGAUUGAGGAUAAGUAUUGUGGAAUAGCUUCAUAAAGAAUAUGUCAAAAAAAAAUUGUUCUUAUGUUUAAAUUCUCAAGAGAAUUUUACUUCGAAAAACAAAUAUUUUCAAAAACAUUAGUAAACAAAUUUCAAAAUUCUUGUGAAAAUCGAAGUACGUUUGAUAGUGAUUUUAAAAAACAUUUUUAGUCAAAAUAAUAAUAUUUAAUUAUUAAAAAUAUUAGAAAUACUUCCUAAAAUCAUUAUCAAACGCAGUAUUAAUGAGUUUUUGUUUACCGGGGAAUAAGUAAUUAAAAUAUAGGGAAAUCAGAUGAAUGCCCUAUUUAUAUUCCCUACUCUGGGGUUUACAAACAUGUCCCAAAAGUGGCCCAGCUUUCAAGCGAAAUAAGAAGAAAAAAGCGCUAAUCAGGGUAGUAUGCUGCUGUCUUUAGAAUAUCUGGAUGAAGUUUAUCUCUUCAAGGUGGCAAGAACAUCAAGGGUAUCAUGGUGACUUCUCUGCUGGGUUGAUGCUUCUUCUGAGGUGAUUUGAUGUCAAUACUCUUGAUGGUUUUGCCACCUUUGCAGAUCAUGAGCUCAAUUCUCAACUUCUCAGGGCAGCAGCAUACUACUUUGAUCAUCACUCUCAUCCUUCAACUGAUCAGUCAAUGAAGCAGCAGGCCUCCAGAUCAGGAAAAGAUGGGAUAUAUUAAACCCCUUUUCCUAAUAGUCUUUCCUCUCAAUUUAUCAUUUUAGAAUCAAAGAUUAGGUUGAAUGUUUAUAAAAAAUAAUUCAUGUUAAUUAUUAAUAAUUAAUAUUUUCCUUAAUGGUUUUGCAGAUUAUGAACAGUGGAGCUAAUCAAGGCAUGGAGCAUGGUGUUCUCAGCCUCAUCACUUCAGAGACUCUACAACUGUUCAGAUGAGCUGCUGACAGCUGUUUCAGAUCUCCAUAUAUGUUGGGUUUUAAUCAAUGGAAAUUUAGAAAAUUCUGGAAUUUGAUUUGAAUAUUACUUAAAUUUCAAUUGUUGGAUGAUGGGAUUUGAGUGUUGGUAUAUGAUGAAUUUGGGUAAUAAAAGGUUGAGAACUUAUUUCCUAAUUAGUGGAUUUAAUCUGGUUGGAUAUAAAGAUUUAAUUAUUAUAUGGUUUGUAAUGGGUUAUUAAUUAAUUUAUUUUGUGGGUGGAUCCAUUUGGGUUGCCUAAGGUGGAAAUUAAUUGUGGAAUUAUUGAAGAAUAUUUAGGCAAUGUU
rnacentral:lncRNA from 1 species